UGAGGAAUAUUGGUCAAUGGGCGGGAGCCUGAACCAGCCAAGUCGCGUGAGGGAUGACGGUCCUACGGAUUGUAAACCUCUUUUGCCGGGGAGCAAGCGUGCGUUCGUGAACGCGCGUCGAGAGUACCCGGAGAAAAAGCAUCGGCUAACU
rnacentral:rRNA from 1 species